CGCAAGCCUGACGGAGCAAGACCGCGUGGGGGAGGAAUGCCUUAGGGUUGUAAACCCCUUUUAUCUGGGAAGAACAAAAUGACGGUACCAGAUGAAUAAGCCUCGGCUAACUCCGUGCCAGCAGCCGCGGUAAUACGGAGGAUGCAAGCGUUAUCCGGAAUUAUUGGGCGUAAAGCGUCCGUAGGCGGUUUAGAAAGUCAGUUGUUAAAGCCCACAGCUCAACUGUGGAUCGGCAAUUGAAACUACUAGACUAGAGAGUGGUAGGGGUAGAGGGAAUUCCUAGUGUAGCGGUGAAAUGCGUAGAUAUUAGGAAGAACACCAGUGGCGAAGGCGCUCUACUGGGCCAUUACUGACGCCGAUGGACGAAAGCUAGGGGAGCG
rnacentral:rRNA from 1 species